GACAACAUAAAUGACCCAUGACACAAAUGAUCCACUGCAUGAAUGAUCCAUGACGUGAAUAAGCCAUAACACAGAUAACACCACAGAUGAGCCACUAAAGCAUCCGAGUGAGCCACUCACUCACACUGAGUGAGAGAAGCAAGGCACACAGACCAUGGACUGUAUAAUUCCUUUCAUGUGAAAUUUCCAGAACAGGAAAAUCGAGAGAGACAGAAAGCAGGUUAGAGGUUCCAGGGGCUGGGGGUUGGGGAGAUGGAGAAAGACUACUUAACAGGCACAGAGACUUCUUUUUGGGGUGAUGAAAAUGUCCUAAAAUGGACUAUGGCAUUGGCUGCACAACUCUGAACACACUAAGAAACACUGGAUUGGACAAGUUAAAUGGCUGGAUGCUGAACUAUGUCUCAAUAAAGCUAAAGAAUAAGAUGGCUCCUUCCAGCUUUGCAGGAACCUAACUGCUAGUCCCACAAACUUGCCCUCCUAAUUGUUGCAACCUUGAAUGCCUUCCUAAGAAUGAGAGAUUUGUGAGAGAGCCUAACCUUUUCCCUGCUUUUAAUCUACUCUCCUUCAGCAAAUUAGACUAAAAUCUACAUUAAUGAAUUACGAUCUGAAAUUUUUUCCUUUCCUAUAUCACCUAAGGGGAGUUACCAGCAUGCUCCUUGCUAUAUCAUGGGUGCCUUCAUAUAUUCUGCUCUUUAAGGGGGUUACUUUUUGC